rnacentral:rRNA from 2 species
GACGAACGCUGGCGGCGUGCCUAACACAUGCAAGUCGAGCGGGGACGAGUAGCAAUAUUCGUUCUAGCGGCGGACGGGUGAGUAACGCGUGAGCAAUCUGUCCCAGAAUGGGGGAUAACAGAUGGAAACAUCUGCUAAUACCGCAUAAGACCACGAGGUCACAUGAUCUUGAGGUAAAAGGAGCAAUCCGAUCUGGGGUGAGCUCGCGUCCGAUUAGCUAGUUGGCGGGGUAACGGCCCACCAAGGCGACGAUCGGUAGCCGACCUGAGAGGGUGAUCGGCCACACUGGAACUGAGAAACGGUCCAGACUCCUACGGGAGGCAGCAGUGGGGAAUAUUGGGCAAUGGGGGAAACCCUGACCCAGCAACGCCGCGUGAGGGAAGAAGGUUUUCGGAUUGUAAACCUCUGUCCUUGGUGACGAAACAAAUGACGGUAGCCAAGGAGGAAGCCCCGGCUAACUACGUG